UACGGAGGGUGCAAGCGUUAUCCGGAUUCACUGGGUUUAAAGGGUGCGUAGGCGGGCAGGUAAGUCAGUGGUGAAAUCUCCGAGCUUAACUCGGAAACUGCCGCUGAUACUAUUUGUCUUGAAUAUUGUGGAGGUAAGCGGAAUAUGUCAUGUAGCGGUGAAAUGCUUAGAUAUGACAUAGAACACCAAUUGCGAAGGCAGCUUACUACACAACGAUUGACGCUGAGGCACGAAAGCGUGGGGAUCAAACAGG
rnacentral:rRNA from 1 species